UACGUAGGGGGCUAGCGUUGUCCGGAAUCAUUGGGCGUAAAGAGCGUGUAGGCGGCUUGGUAAGUCCGCUGUGAAAGUCCAGGGCUUAACCCUGGAAAGCCAGUGGAAACUGUCAAGCUAGAGUCCGGAAGAGGUGAGUGGAACUCCUGGUGUAGCGGUGAAAUGCGCAGAUAUCAGGAAGAACACCAAUGGCGAAGGCAGCUCACUGGGCAAUACCUGACACUGAGACGCGAAAGCGUGGGGAGCGAACGGG
rnacentral:rRNA from 1 species